rnacentral:rRNA from 1 species
CAGGCCUAACACAUGCAAGUCGAGGGGUAGUCACGUUUCGACGAGAUGAGACCGGCGCACGGGUGCGUAACGCGUAUGCAAUCUACCUUUUACAGAGGGAUAGCCCAGAGAAAUUUGGAUUAAUACCUCAUAGUAUAUAUCAUUCGCAUGUUUGGUAUAUUAAAGUUCCAACGGUAAAAGAUGAGCAUGCGUCCCAUUAGUUAGUUGGUAAGGUAACGGCUUACCAAGACGAUGAUGGGUAGGGGUCCUGAGAGGGAGAUCCCCCACACUGGUACUGAGACACGGACCAGACUCCUACGGGAGGCAGCAGUGAGGAAUAUUGGUCAAUGGACGCAAGUCUGAACCAGCCAUGCCGCGUGCAGGAAGACGGUCCUAUGGAUUGUAAACUGCUUUUGUACGGGAAGAAACCCUCCGACGUGUCGGAGCUUGACGGUACCGUAAGAAUAAGCAUCGGCUAACUCCGUGCCAGCAGCCGCGGUAAUACGGAGGAUGCGAGCGUUAUCCGGAAUCAUUGGGUUUAAAGGGUCCGUAGGCGGUUUAAUAAGUCAGUGGUGAAAUCUGGUCGCUCAACGAUCAAACUGCCAUUGAUACUGUUAGACUUGAAUUACUGUGAAGUAACUAGAAUAUGUAGUGUAGCGGUGAAAUGCUUAGAUAUUACAUGGAAUACCAAUUGCGAAGGCAGGUUACUAACAGUGGAUUGACGCUGAUGGACGAAGGCGUGGGGAGCGAACAGGAUUAGAUACCCUGGUAGUCCACGCCGUAAACGAUGGAUACUAGUUGUUUGGAUUUAUCUGAGUGACUAAGCGAAAGUGAUAAGUAUCCCACCUGGGGAGUACGAACGCAAGUUUGAAACUCAAAGGAAUUGACGGGGGCCCGCACAAGCGGUGGAGCAUGUGGUUUAAUUCGAUGAUACGCGAGGAACCUUACCAAGGCUUAAAUGGGAGACGACGUAUUUGGAAACAGAUAUUUCUUCGGACGUCUUUCAAGGUGCUGCAUGGUUGUCGUCAGCUCGUGCCGUGAGGUGUCAGGUUAAGUCCUAUAACGAGCGCAACCCCUGUUGUUAGUUGCCAGCGAGUCAUGUCGGGAACUCUAGCAAGACUGCCGGUGCAAACCGUGAGGAAGGUGGGGAUGACGUCAAAUCAUCACGGCCCUCACGCCUUGGGCUACACACGUGCUACAAUGGCCGGUACAGAGAGCAGCCACUGGGCGACCAGGAGCGAAUCUAUAAAACCGGUCACAGUUCGGAUCGGAGUCUGCAACUCGACUCCGUGAAGCUGGAAUCGCUAGUAAUCGGAUAUCAGCCAUGAUCCGGUGAAUACGUUCCCGGGCCUUGUACACACCGCCCGU